AGGUGGAAAAAGGAGAACCCAAUGAUGGCAAGAUCUUAGGAAUCGGCAGCACCGAGGACUGCGUGGAGAUGAAGAAAUCCUUCGGGUACACCUGGAACGACGAGGACUGCGGCAACGAGCGGAGGUACGUCUGUGAACGCCCAGCUGAGUAAAACAGGAGGAAACUUCUGAAGAAGAAGAAGAAGAAGAAGAAGAAGAAGAAGAAGAAGAAGAAGAAGAAUGAGUUGGAGAGACAUCAAAAUAAUUUCUGAGACUAUUUUAUCAUCAAUAAAAAUUAAGUCAUUCGGAUUCGGAAUAAAUCUAAAAUUAUGACCUGUUACUCUGACAAUUUCUCAGGGAAAUAGAAUUAAAUUGAACCUACUGCAGAAA